rnacentral:lncRNA from 7 species
GAAUGUGGUGGAGUGGGAAGUGUGGGAGCAGCUCAAUAGGGAUGGCACUGCUUCCAGUGAUGGUUUUGCCAGGGCCUGGAAUCUUCUAAAGGCAGCAGUUCAUCAGUGAUGGAAGGCGGAUAAUCCACUUCUGGAAUCCUUCUUCCCUCGCGUUCUUGCAUGAUUUAUAACAUAGCUGGAGGAAGAGAAUUUGUCAGCACCAUCUCUGUGAAGUAAUGCUGAAUCCCAUUGCAGGAGGGACUCUGGAGAGCUCCUCUGAUGCUGUUUGCCAUAGAUCUGUGGCAUUACGUAAAGCAGUCAGUGCUCAUAAACAGACCCCAGCAUCUCUCCUGUCUUGCUGUGCCAUCACAGGGUGAGCAGGGACUGCUCUCUUCCACAGCUUGGCUGCUCCAGGUCUCCCUUUCCAUGCUUGUUCUGCACGUUUUCCACCUCUGGAAAGUUCUUGCUCCAAUAUCUCUAUCCACCAUGCAGUUCUUCCAUAUAAAAUGCUGAUACCUGCUCUGGUUGUUUCCUCGGUGCUGAAAGAUGCAGUGCUCGGUGGUGCUGCUCAGCAGUGAUCUGGUGAAGGGAGCAGAGACUCUCAGAGCUGACCCUUGAAAAGCAUGAACUUUUGAUCCACAAAGCAGGACCUUUUGGGCUUACAGCAGCGAUUAAUGGCAGAGAACAAAGCUACCUGCCCGUUGCAUCUGUUUCUCACCCUUCUAAAUAGCUUAACCUAGCUCCGCAAUAGGGGAACAAGUGGCUUGAUCAACGGCACUGUGCUUCCAAGGGUGAUGUGUGCCAGUGCCAUCAGUUCUGAUGGGAGAAGGGUGUGCACGUCAACCAGAGGUGCUCUCAGUGCUCAUAGCACAGGCAACGAUGGGAGAAAUGAGGAGUCUCCUUCUGUGCACAUUGCUGGAUUUUGGAGUAAUGGUUAAUAUCCAAAGAACACAUUCCACCUGCCUGUCUUUGGUGAGAGUGCAAAUGUAGCUAGAACUCUGUAUCUGCUUCAUGCCCAUCAGCGCAGCAGUGAUAGAUGGGUUUCUGACCCCCUGCUCUCCUAGCAGCCCAGCACACCCUGCAUCCCCCAACCUGUCUUCUUCUCUCUGUUAGAAAUAAUUUCCCAUCUUGCAAAAUUAAUUCUCUGCUCACAGUGGCCUUGAUUAAAUGGCACAGCAAAGUGUGCUGAAGGUGGCAGAACAGCUCUGACAGAGGGGCUUCACCUCCUGAAAGGAAAGGCAUAGAGCUGUGGGCUUCUGCUGCUAUGGAGUGCAGGGGACUGAGGGCUGCUCUCUGCAAAAGCAGCAGACAUUCUCCAUGUCAUGGAACAGCGUUUGUGAAGUUAACCAAAUUGAAGCAACACCAAAUGCAGCCAUUGGCACCGAUCUGUUAUGGAUAUUCUAAUUAUUUACCCCAUUUGUGU